CUCUGGUAUUGAUUGGUGCUUGCAUCAUGAUUUACAUUUGAGUGAGUGGCGAACUGGUGAGUAACACGUGGGAAACCUGCCCAGAAGCGGGGGAUAACACCUGGAAACAGAUGCUAAUACCGCAUAACAACUUGGACCGCAUGGUCCGAGUUUGAAAGAUGGCUUCGGCUAUCACUUUUGGAUGGUCCCGCGGCGUAUUAGCUAGAUGGUGGGGUAACGGCUCACCAUGGCAAUGAUACGUAGCCGACCUGAGAGGGUAAUCGGCCACAUUGGGACUGAGACACGGCCCAAACUCCUACGGGAGGCAGCAGUAGGGAAUCUUCCACAAUGGACGAAAGUCUGAUGGAGCAACGCCGCGUGAGUGAAGAAGGGUUUCGGCUCGUAAAACUCUGUUGUUAAAGAAGAACAUAUCUGAGAGUAACUGUUCAGGUAUUGACGGUAUUUAACCAGAAAGCCACGGCUAACUACGUGCCAGCAGCCGCGGUAAUACGUAGGUGGCAAGCGUUGUCCGGAUUUAUUGGGCGUAAAGCGAGCGCAGGCGGUUUUUUAAGUCUGAUGUGAAAGCCUUCGGCUCAACCGAAGAAGUGCAUCGGAAACUGGGAAACUUGAGUGCAGAAGAGGACAGUGGAACUCCAUGUGUAGCGGUGAAAUGCGUAGAUAUAUGGAAGAACACCAGUGGCGAAGGCGGCUGUCUGGUCUGUAACUGACGCUGAGGCUCGAAAGUAUGGGUAGCAAACAGGAUUAGAUACCCUGGUAGUCCAUACCGUAAACGAUGAAUGCUAAGUGUUGGAGGGUUUCCGCCCUUCAGUGCUGCAGCUAACGCAUUAAGCAUUCCGCCUGGGGAGUACGGCCGCAAGGCUGAAACUCAAAGGAAUUGACGGGGGCCCGCACAAGCGGUGGAGCAUGUGGUUUAAUUCGAAGCUACGCGAAGAACCUUACCAGGUCUUGACAUACUAUGCAAAUCUAAGAGAUUAGACGUUCCCUUCGGGGACAUGGAUACAGGUGGUGCAUGGUUGUCGUCAGCUCGUGUCGUGAGAUGUUGGGUUAAGUCCCGCAACGAGCGCAACCCUUAUUAUCAGUUGCCAGCAUUAAGUUGGGCACUCUGGUGAGACUGCCGGUGACAAACCGGAGGAAGGUGGGGAUGACGUCAAAUCAUCAUGCCCCUUAUGACCUGGGCUACACACGUGCUACAAUGGAUGGUACAACGAGUUGCGAACUCGCGAGAGUAAGCUAAUCUCUUAAAGCCAUUCUCAGUUCGGAUUGUAGGCUGCAACUCGCCUACAUGAAGUCGGAAUCGCUAGUAAUCGCGGAUCAGCAUGCCGCGGUGAAUACGUUCCCGGGCCUUGUACACACCGCCCGUCACACCAUGAGAGUUUGUAACACCCAAAGUCGGUGGGG
rnacentral:rRNA from 2 species